rnacentral:rRNA from 1 species
UACGUAGGGUGCAAGCGUUGUCCGGAAUUAUUGGGCGUAAAGCGCACGUAGGCGGCUUUGCAAGUCCCAUGUGAAAGCCCACGGCUUAACCGUGGAAGUGCAUGGGAAACUGCAGAGCUUGAGUACUUAAGAGGAUCGCGGAAUUCCCGGUGUAGAGGUGAAAUUCGUAGAUAUCGGGAGGAACACCAGUGGCGAAGGCGGCGAUCUGGGAAGAUACUGACGCUGAGGUGCGAAAGCGUGGGGAGCAAACAGG